UCUGUUAUGCCCCUAGAUGCUCUGGGCCCCACGCGCCCUACAGAGAGGAACUCCACAAGGUUCGUCCUUGAUCGGAAGGGCCGGGUAAUCUUUUGAAACUUCAUCGUGGUGGGGAAAGUCCCUUGCAAUUUUUGGACUUUAACGAGGAAUUCCUAGUAAGCGUGAGUCAUCAACUCGCGUUGAUUACCUCCCUGCCCUUUGUACACACCGCCCGUCGCUACUAC
rnacentral:rRNA from 1 species